rnacentral:rRNA from 1 species
GAUGAACGCUGGCGGCGUGCCUAAUACAUGCCAGUCGAGCGAACAGACGAGGAGCUUGCUCCUCUGACGUUAGCGGCGGACGGGUGAGUAACACGUGGAUAACCUACCUAUAAGACUGGGAUAACUUCGGGAAACCGGAGCUAAUACCGGAUAAUAUAUUGAACCGCAUGGUUCAAUAGUGAAAGACGGUUUUGCUGUCACUUAUAGAUGGAUCCGCGCCGCAUUAGCUAGUUGGUAAGGUAACGGCUUACCAAGGCGACGAUGCGUAGCCGACCUGAGAGGGUGAACGGCCACACUGGAACUGAGACACGGCCCAGACUCCGACGGGAGGCAGCAGUGGGGAAUAUUGCACAAUGGGUGGAAGACUGAUGCAGCAACGCCGUGUGCGGGAUGACGGCCUUCGGGUUGUAAACCGCUUUCGCUCAUGACGAAGCUUUGUGUGACGGUAGUGGGUAAAGAAGCACCGGCUAACUACGUG